GAGAGUUUGAUCCUGGCUCAGAACGAACGCUGGCGGCGCGCCUAAUACAUGCAAGUCGAACGAGAAUGUGUAGCAAUACACAUGUACAGUGGCGAACGGGUGAGGAAUACAUGGGUAACCUACCCUCGAGUGGGGAAUAACUAGCCGAAAGGUUAGCUAAUACCGCGUACGCCUCCCGGACUAUGGUUCGGGAGGGAAAGCGAUACCGUGGGUAUCGCGCUCUUGGAUGGGCUCAUGCCCUAUCAGCUUGUUGGUGAGGUAACGGCUCACCAAGGCAUCGACGGGUAGCUGAUCUGAGAGGAUGAUCAGCCACACUGGCACUGCGACACGGGCCAGACUCCUACGGGAGGCAGCAGUAAGGAAUAUUGCGCAAUGGGCGAAAGCCUGACGCAGCGACGCCGCGUGGGGGAUGAAGGUCUUCGGAUUGUAA
rnacentral:rRNA from 1 species